AGCGCUCUGUAAAAUGGACCAAUCAGGAGGAUGUGGGCAGGACCAAUCAGGAGGAUGUGGGCGGGGCCAAUGAGGGAAUAAAAGCUGGCCAUCCGAGCCAGCGGCAGCUGCGUUUGGGUCCCCUUCGAUGGUGUUGGGGUUUUGUUGUUUCGCUCUUUGCAAUAAAUUUUGCUGUUGCUCACCUUUUAGGUCCACACUACCUUUAUGAGCUUUAACACUCACAGUGAAGGUCUGCAGGUUCACUCCUGUAAACCAGCGAGACCAGGAAGCCACCACAAGAAACAACUCUGGAGCCGCCACCUUUAAGAGCCAUAACACUCACUGUGAAGGUCUGUGGCUUCACUCCUGAAGUCAGCGACACCACGAACCCACAGGGAGGAGCAAACAACUCCAGACGCACCACUUUUAAGAGGUGUAACACUCCCUGCGAAGGUCUGUGGCUUCACUCCUGAGGUCGGCGAAACUACGAACCCGCUGGGAGGAAGGAACAACGCGGAUGCGCCACCUUUAAGAGCUGUAACACUCCCUGCGAAGGUCCGCGGCCUCACUCAUCAAGUCGUGCAUAGACCACGAACUCUCUAGAAAGAAAAAACUUCGGACACACCUGAACAUUUGAAGGAACAAACUCCGGACACACCAUGUUUAAGAACUAUAAUGCCGUGAAGGUCCGCGGCAGGACCGGGACCAGGAACUCUUCAGAGGGAACCAAUUCCGGAUACACAGCUUCGUGGAAUGGUUCUGCACUGUGUGUGUGUGUGUUUCCCGUCAACCCUGUGCACACUAUUAGAAGAACACAAGCGUUAAGGCUCCCUCUCAGUCCUGCCGGUUUUUUCUCAGUUGACUGCAUUACUUUACUGUGUUUCAACACUCCUGGCACAUGCAUGAAAGGCCCUAAGAUGAGUUCUGGUGGCAUAGAACUCCUUGGGAGAACAGAAAAGGCACCACAGAUCCCAUUUUGGGAGAAAUCUCUGUUUUC
rnacentral:lncRNA from 10 species